rnacentral:tRNA from 1 species
GUGGGCAUUGCUCAGUCAUAGAGUGCGUGCUUAGCAUGCAUGAGGUCCUGGGUUCAAGCCCCAGUGCCUCCA